UACGUAGGGGGCAAGCGUUGUCCGGAAUCAUUGGGCGUAAAGAGCGUGUAGGCGGCCCGGUAAGUCCGCUGUGAAAGUCCAGGGCUCAACCCCUGGGAUGCCGGUGGAUACUGUCGGGCUCGAGUCCGGAAGAGGAGUGUGGAAUUCCUGGUGUAGCGGUGAAAUGCGCAGAUAUCAGGAGGAACACCAAUGGCGAAGGCAGCACUCUGGGACGUGACUGACGCUGAGACGCGAAAGCGUGGGGAGCAAACAGG
rnacentral:rRNA from 1 species